CAGACCUCUAAUCGGAAAAGACUACCCGCUGAGUUUAAGCAUAUCACUAAGCGGAGGAGAAGAA
rnacentral:rRNA from 2 species